AUUGAACGCUGGCGGAAUGCUUUACACAUGCAAGUCGAACGGCAGCACGGACUUCGGUCUGGUGGCGAGUGGCGAACGGGUGAGUAAUGUAUCGGAACGUGCCCAGUCGUGGGGGAUAACGUAGUGAAAAUUACGCUAAUACCGCAUACGAUCUAUGGAUGAAAGCGGGGGAUCGCAAGACCUCGCGCGAUUGGAGCGGCCGAUAUCAGAUUAGGUAGUUGGUGGGGUAAAGGCCCACCAAGCCAACGAUCUGGAGCUGGUCUGAGAGGACGGACCAGCCACAUUGGAACUGGAACACGGUCAGGACCCCUCGGGAGGCAGCAGUGGGGAAUUUUGGACAAUGGGCGAAAGCCUGAUCCAGCCAUUCCGCGUGCAGGAUGAAGGCCCUCGGGUUGUAAACUGCUUUUGUACAGAACGAAAAGGUUUCUACUAAUACUAGGAGCUCAUGACGGUACUGUAAGAAUAAGCACCGGCUAACUACGUGCCAGCCGCCGCAGUAA
rnacentral:rRNA from 1 species